AGACACAAACUGUGACCUCCUGCCAACAGGCAUGUGAAUGAGCCAUUUUAGAAGCUGACUCUCUAACCAUGUUCAAGCUUUCAAAUGACUGCAACCACUGCUGACAUGCAAAAUGCAACCACAUGAGAAACCCUGAGGCAGAAAAACCCAGGCUAGAGUACAAAUGUGAAGAACAUCACAUGCCAAUCAUUCAGGAGUUAUUCAAUAUGCACUGAUGACCCCAAGAGCAGUGAAAAUAACCGUGACAGAAGCUUCCUGAUGACUGGUAUUCUUAAAUGGGUGAAAUCGGAUUAAAAUGGCCAGCAUGAGGAGGCAUCAGAAUGGGGAAGAUGCAGUCUUGCUCUGUCACCCAGGCUGGAGUGCAGCGGCGCAAUCUCCGGUCACCGCAACUUCCGCCUCCGGGGUUCAAGCGAUUCUCCUGCCUCAGCCUCCUGAAUAGUUGGGAUUACAGGUGCCUGUGACCACACCCAGCUAAUUUUGUAUUUUGAGUAGAGACGGGAUUUCACCAUGUUGGUCAAGCUGGUCUCAAUCUCCUGACCGCAUGAUCCACCCCCCUCGGCCUCCCAAAGUGCUGGGAUUAUAGGCAUGAGCCACCACACCAGUAGCUCUUUCUUAUGAAAGAAGUUUCUCAACAGAGUACUUUCUUCUGAAAGCAGUAUCAUUUUUCUAUAUUUAAUCUCCACAAGAACCACUUUCAAAAAAUAACAGUAUCCUGGCACUUUAAAGAACUAAAA
rnacentral:lncRNA from 1 species